UGCAGAAUCCCGUGAACCAUCGAGUCUUUGAACGCAAGUUGCGCCCUAAGCCAUUUGGCCGAGGGCACGUCUGCCUGGGCGUCAAUCAUCUAUUCGUCACCCAACCUCCGCUCCCCGAAAAGGAGCAAUUGGUCCCGGGUACGGAAGUUGGCCUCCCGUGCUCUUGAAGCGCGGCUGGCCUAAAACUGAGCAUCGGACUGAUGAUCUCCGAGGCACGCGGUGGUUGUUCAUUCUUACCUCGUGAUGUUGCCAAGGAGCGUCUCCCGUACGAAGCUCCACGACCCUAGAUUUACUAUCGAUGCGACCCCAGGUCAGGCGGGGCCACCCGCUGAAUUUAAGCAUAUCAAUAAGCGGAGGAAAAGAAACUAACAAGGAUUCCCCUAGUAGCGGCGAGCGAACCGGGAAAUGCCCACCAUGAAAAUCGAGCUCCUUUGGUGCUCGA
rnacentral:rRNA from 1 species